rnacentral:tRNA from 1 species
GGUUAUGGCUCAGUGGCAGAGCGCUUGCCUAGCAUGUGUGAGGCACUGGGUUUGAUUCUCAGCACCA